UAUCCGUAGUAUAGUGGUCAGUAUGUGAGCUUGUCAUAGGACUCCAGUCCAAACAUCGCUCGAGACCCGGGUUCAAUUCCCGGCGGGAGAG
rnacentral:tRNA from 1 species